ACAAAUCAUCAUCACUUUAAAACAAGUAUUAAGAAAAGAUCAGACACCACAAUAAUCAAUCCCUCACAGAUUUCCAAUGCACAAUGCAGAUGAAAACUAUAAUCCAAUUGUACACUAAAGAAGUCAAUACAAGGAUAAUAUGGUGACAUAAUUGUCAUAUCGGUGGUGAUCAGUCACAACAAUAAUCAAAACAAACACAAACAUUUACCUUCAUAAAUUUCCAUUAAAAGGGGUAAUAUUUAGAUAUCCAAUCUACAUUAUACGACAUGACGGAGAUUGAUUGAUAUACCAUGGGUGAUCACAAAGUGAGUCACCCAUGGGUCGACCAAGGGGCUUGACAGACUUCUUCAGUGUGGCAGGUACAAUCUUUGAAGGAAGGUAAGGCAAGUACAGAAGAACUCAAUGCCGUCAUUGGUUAAAAACCAAUAGUAGUGCAUCCAGGCGAACACAUACUCCUUUGACUAGAAGCUCUGCAUCAACUUAAUCACCUGCAAGUUGGGAACGUCAAUUUUCGGGUGCUUCUCCAAGUGGAAGUCUUUCUUCGCAUAGCCCACCCUCGGGAAAUACAUUAAAAUAGCCUAAAGAAAAAGGCUACUUUUUCAUUUUAGCCUUUAACUAAUUCAAGUACCUAAAAGACCCUUAUAUAAAUAUUAUACAUAAGUCUUUAUUUUAUAAAAACUUUCCAUUCAAGUCCUUAAAAAUUUUAAAGAAUU
rnacentral:lncRNA from 1 species